ACCUGGGUGGCUCAGUGGUUGAGCAUCUGCCUUUGGCUCAGGUCGUGAUCCCCAGGUU
rnacentral:tRNA from 1 species